rnacentral:rRNA from 1 species
UACAGAGGGUGCAAGCGUUGUUCGGAAUUAUUGGGCGUAAAGGGCGCGCAGGCGGCUCUGAAAGUCAGAUGUGAAAGCCCCGGGCUUAACCUGGGAAUUGCAUUUGAUACUCUGGAGCUUGAGUACGGGAGAGGAGAGUGGAAUUCCCAGUGUAGAGGUGAAAUGCGUAGAUAUUGGGAAGAACACCGGUGGCGAAGGCGGCUCUCUGGACCGUAACUGACGCUGAGGCGCGAAAGCGUGGGGAGCAAACAGG